CAAUAGCGUAUACUAAUGUUGUUGCAGUUAAAAAGCUCGUAGUUGAACUUCUGGUAGGAGUGUCCCGGCCUUUUUGUUUUUACAAAUUGUAUGCUGUGUGACAUCUCUGGCCAUCCUUCUUCUUUGUUUAAAGAAGAUCUUUCACUGUAAAAAAAUUAGGGUGUUCAAAGAAAAAGUUUCUUUGGAAUAUAUUAGUAUGGGAUGAUAAGAUAGGCUCUAGAUGCUAUUUUGUUGGUUUGCACAUUUAGAGAAUGAUUAACAGGGACAGUUGGGGGUAUUCGUAUUUACAUGUCAGAGGUGAAAUUCUUGGAUUUUGGAAAGACGAACUACUGCGAAAGCAUUUACCAAGGAUGUUUUCAUUAA
rnacentral:rRNA from 1 species